GAUGAACGCUGGCGGCGUGCCUAAUUCAUGCAAGUCGAGCGAACAGACGAGGAGCUUGCUCCUCUGACGUUAGCGGCGGACGGGUGAGUAACACGUGGAUAACCUACCUAUAAGACUGGGAUAACUUCGGGAAACCGGAGCUAAUACCGGAUAAUAUAUUGAACCGCAUGGUUCAAUAGUGAAAGACGGUUUUGCUGUCACUUAUAGAUGGAUCCGCGCCGCAUUAGCUAGUUGGUAAGGUAACGGCUUACCAAGGCAACGAUGCGUAGCCGACCUGAGAGGGUGAUCGGCCACACUGGAACUGAGACACGGUCCAGACUCCUGCGGGAGGCAGCAGUAGGGAAUCUUCCGCAAUGGGCGAAAGCCUGACGGAGCAACGCCGCGUGAGUGAUGAAGGUCUUCGGAUCGUAAAACUCUGUUAUUAGGGAAGAACAAAUGUGUAAGUAACUAUGCACGUCUUGACGGUACCUAAUCAGAAAGCCACGGCUAACUACGUG
rnacentral:rRNA from 1 species